AAGGAAAGCGGGCGGCAUGCCUUACACAUGCAAGUCGAACGGCAGCAUGACCUAGCUUGCUAGGUUGAUGGCGAGUGGCGAACGGGUGAGUAAUGCAUCGGAACGUGCCUUUUAGUGGGGGAUAACGUAGCGAAAGUUACGCUAAUACCGCAUAUUCUCUGAGGAGGAAAGCAGGGGACCUUCGGGCCUUGCGCUAGAAGAGCGGCCGAUGUCGGAUUAGCUAGUUGGUGAGGUAAAGGCUCACCAAGGCAACGAUCCGUAGCGGGUCUGAGAGGAUGAUCCGCCACACUGGGACUGAGACACGGCCCAGACUCCUACGGGAGGCAGCAGUGGGGAAUUUUGGACAAUGGGCGCAAGCCUGAUCCAGCCAUGCCGCGUGAGUGAAGAAGGCCUUCGGGUUGUAAAGCUCUUUCGGCUGGGAAGAAAUCGCACCCUCUAAUACAGGGUGUGGAUGACGGUACCAGCAUAAGAAGCACCGGCUAACUACGUG
rnacentral:rRNA from 1 species